rnacentral:rRNA from 1 species
UACGGGGGGAGCAAGCGUUGUUCGGAAUCACUGGGCGUAAAGGGAGUCUAGGCGGUUUGGUAAGUGGGAUGUGAAAUCCCCGGGCUCACCCCGGGACCUGCAUCCCAAACUGCUGAGCUUGAGUACAGGAGAGGGUGGGGGAAUUCCAGGUGUAGCGGUGAAAUGCGUAGAUAUCUGGAGGAACACCGGUGGCGAAGGCGCCCACCUGGCCUGCUACUGACGCUGAGGAGCGAAAGUGUGGGGAGCGAACAGG